GCAUGCCUACAACAUAGUGUUAAUGCAUCGGAUCCUAUUAGAACUUCACAGUUAAGCGCGCUCGGACUAGAGUAUUACUAGGAUGGGUGACCACCCAAGAAGUCCUAGUGUUUUACAUGCC
rfam:Picea glauca, whole genome shotgun sequence.